rnacentral:rRNA from 1 species
AGUGAACGCUGGCGGCGUGGAUUAGGCAUGCAAGUCGAGCGAUCUUAUUACAAGCAACCCGCAAGGGGAGUGAGUAGUAGGAUAGCGGCAAACGGGUGAGUAACACGUGAGCAACUUUCCCUUAAGACGGGUAUAGCACCGUGAAAACGGUGGUAAUUCCCGAUAACAUCAAGGUUCUGCAUGGUAUCUUGAUUAAAGGUGGGGACCUUCGGGCCUGCCACUUAAGGAUGGGCUCGCGUCCUAUCAGCUAGUUGGUGAGGUAACGGCCCACCAAGGCGUUUGACGGGUAGCUGGUCUGAGAGGAUGGACAGCCACACUGGGACUGAGACACUGCCCAGACUCCUACGGGAGGCUGCAGUCGAGAAUCUUCUUCAAUGGACGAAAGUCUGAAAGAGCGACGCCGCGUGCGGGAUGAAGGCUUUCGGGUCUUAAACUGCUUUUGUUAGGAAAGAAUACUACGUAUCUAAUAAAUACGUAGUUGACGGUACCUAAAGAAUAAGCCACGGCCAACUCCGUGCCAGCAGCCGCGGUAAUACGGAGGUGGCAAGCGUUACUCGGAAUUAUUGGGUGUAAAGGGCAAGUAGGCGGCCUAUUAAGCGAGGGGUGAAAUCCUGCGGCUCAAUCGCAGAAUUGCCUUUCGAACUGGUAGGCUUGAGGCCGAUAGGGGGAAACGGAAUUAGCAGUGUAAGGGUGAAAUCUGUAGAUAUUGCUAAGAACACCAGCAGCGAAGGCGGUUUCCUGGAUCGGAUCUGACGCUAAAUUGCGAAAGCUAGGGGAACAAACAGGAUUAGAUACCCUGGUAGUCCUAGCCGUAAACUAUGAGCACUAGGUGUUGGGCCUUCGGGCUCAGUGCCGCAGCUAACGCAUUAAGUGCUCCACCUGGGGACUACGGUCGCAAGGCUA